GAAGGCGGUUUUUUGUUCUGUAACUGACGCUGAGGCGCGAAAGCGUGGGGAGCAAACAGGAUUACAUACCCUGGUAGUCCACGCCGUAAACAAUGAUUGCUAAUUGUUAAAGGGCUUCCGCCCUUUAGGGCUGCAACUAACGCAUUAAGCACUCCGCCGGGGGAGUACGGUCGCAAGACUGAAACUCGAAGGAAUUGACGGGGGCCCGCACAAGCGGUGGAUCAUGUGUUUUAAUUCAAAGCAACGCGAAUAACCUUACCAGGUCUUGACAUCCUCUGAGAACUCUAGAAAUACAGCGUUCCCCUUCGG
rnacentral:rRNA from 2 species